rnacentral:tRNA from 1 species
GGAGAGGUGUCCGAGUGGUUGAAGGAGCACGCCUGGAAAGUGUGUGUACGGUAACACCGUACCGAGGGUUCGAAUCCCUCCCUCUCCGCCA